rnacentral:rRNA from 1 species
UAGUCUGCAACUCGACUACAUGAAGCUGGAAUCGCUAGUAAUCGCGAAUCAGCAUGUCGCGGUGAAUACGUUCCCGGGCCUUGUACACACCGCCGUCACACCAUGAGAGUCGGGAACACCCGAAGUCCGUAGUCUAACCGCAAGGAGGGCGCGGCCGAAGGUGGGUUCGAUAAUUGGGGUGAAGUCGUAACAAGGUACC